rnacentral:lncRNA from 1 species
AAUUUUUGGUACAAAUAUCAAGCUGAUCAUUAAUUGGAUCAAGUUAGACUUGAAUCUGACAUUUGUUAGGCCUUGCAAAAGAUCAAAAUCUUAGUUUUUUAUAAUAAGAAAGCUUUUAGUAUAUAUAUAAUAUGAAAUGGAAAAUCAUUUCAGACAUGUAAAAUGCAUGAUAUCAACAAUUAUAAAGUCCCAUGCUUUAGAAAAAUUACAUCA